CCUUGUACACACCGCCCGUCACACCAUGGGAGUUGGUUUUACCUGAAGACGGUGUGCCAACCGCAAGGAGGCAGCCGGCCACGGUAAGGUCAGCGACUGGGGUG
rnacentral:rRNA from 1 species